GACGAACGCUGGCGGCGUGCUUAACACAUGCCAGUCGAACGGAAAGGCCCUGCUUUUGUGGGGUGCUCGAGUGGCGAACGGGUGAGUAACACGUGAGUAACCUGCCCUUGACUUUGGGAUAACUUCAGGAAACUGGGGCUAAUACCGGGUAGGAGCUCCUGCUGCAUGGUGGGGGUUGGAAAGUUUCGGCGGUUGGGGAUGGACUCGCGGCUUAUCAGCUUGUUGGUGGGGUAGUGGCUUACCAAGGCUUUGACGGGUAGCCGGCCUGGGAGGGUUACCAGCGACAUUGGGACUGAGAUACGGCCCAGACUCCAACGGGAGGCAGUAGUGGGGAGUAUGGCACAGUGGGCGGAAGCCUGAGGCAGCAACGCCGCGUGCGGGAUGACGGCCUUCGGGUUGUAAACCGCUUUCGCCUGUGACGAAGCGUGAGUGACGGUAAUGGGUAAAGAAGCACCGGCUAACUACGUG
rnacentral:rRNA from 1 species